UAUCGACGUCGCGCUAAUCACUGUUUAUCGUCGCUCGUUUACUCUUGCGCCGUAUCGCCGCGUUAUACUUUUUCCGCGCCACGAGCAGCGUCGCUUUUUUAUAGAUAAUUACCGCGAUCUCGUAGACCGCCUACGACGACCGACUCACCGGCUUGCGGAGGAAGCGGGCUCGGUUCGCUCUUCUGGUUUUUCUGGUUCUUCUGGAAGACGUCGGAAUCGAUCGUCGGCGGCGCGGACACGUCCGUCGGCUCCUGCUUAGCUUCCUGCUCGUCUGGAUCGGUGAACACGCUGUCGCUCGACGAUUCCUGGCUAGGCGGUGCCGAGAUCUCCGACACGAUCACCGCCUUAUUAGCCAACCGCCAGGAAUCGGUCACCAGAACCACCGGCCCCUGUCUCUGACCCGGCAAAGACACCGGCACCAACAGGCUGUUCGUCAGGUCGGCCUCCGUCGCAUCGACCUUGCCCACCGAUCCCCGGUGCUCGUCUUCCCCGUUCACCAGCUCCCGCUGGAUCUCGAUCGACUUGUCAGGAAUCUCGGGCGCGACCUGUUCGAAUCGACAAGUCCACCGGUAGAAUGUGAAACGGCCGCGAAUCGGUCUUUCUUUCAAUGGGCGAUACGACACGCGUGCGAGAUCCGAAAGCGAUAGGUCACGUUGCGAAGAAACGCGACGACGCGAAAUCAUUGUACAAAUUGCUCGGAUAUUUUCGAGCGAACCGAUUCGUCGCGUUCCUUUCGGUUAUUCCCGAUCGGUCGCCUUUAAUCUCGGCAGCCUCCCGUGACCUAUUGACCCCCAUACGCGCCCCGCGGAAAUGGUUGCGCGAAAUAUGCAACGGCCGCGCGCGUUACGUUCCACUUCGACUUCGGAUCAUUUUGCAAUUCCCGUCGCGAAUUCGACUGAACGUUGCAUGCCGGCGGGACGGGGUUAACCCUGGCUCUUCUAUCGUCUUAAAACUUUGUACGAUUUCUACGAUAAUGUAAGCUCGACUAAAGAACUCGAUCCGACAACCUCUCAUAAAAACAUUAUUGCGGGAUCGUAGAAAUUGCGAAGCGAACGAUCGCAGACCAUUUCGUUUAAACCGAUGCUCGGUUGUUCGUUCCCAGCGUUGAACGAAGGUGUCAGAAAAUGGGCGAUUCAUUGUGCAAGGAUCGGGGAGAGCGUUCGUUACGUUGCGGAGAAAAAUACUUGGAUAGAACCGAGAUCCGCGCGGCACGCGUUCCAUAAACCGUGUCCAGGUGAAUUUUAAAUUGUAAUAUACCGGGAGCAGAGUUCGAGAAGCAAAAGCGAACCCUGACCUUUCUCACGGCGGAUCCAGGUGGCUUGGGAGCCUGCCGCUUGCCAUGAUAAGGAGCCCUCGGUUUCUCGAACUUCUCGAACUUCUGGAUGUUCUGAAGGCUCUCUUCCGGUUUGGCCGGAGCUGCUUUUCUGACGGGCGUCUCCUCAGCGUCCUCGGUCUCGCCGUCGUCCCCCGUGUCGGUGGUGUCCCCGAGGCCGUCGACGGAGCCAUGGACGCUGGCCGUCCCUUCGGCGGUCCUGCCACCCUUCUUGGUCUUCUUCUUGGCGUCGCUCUGCAGGUUGCCCAUGUCCGGAGCGACCGGGACCUCUGUCCCUGUACGGGCGGCGGCAGCGGCGGCGGGCUUCGACUGUUGUAGCGCAACUGCGGCGACCAGGUUCCCGGCAUAGAAGGCUCUGAACGUGUUGACACAGAGGCGGGCGAUGUCGCGCAGCGUUGGCCUGGUUUUCACCGGCGGAACGGCGUCUGCGCCCCCACCCUCGCCCUCGCCGUCCUCGUCGUCCUCCACCCUCGACUCCAUUCACGGUCGAUACGUCGCGGCGCCGGUGCCUCUCUUCCUCCGCGACGACGGUCCGAGGACGAUCCAGGAGGACACCGGUGAACCUAGAACGAGCCAGAAAUUUCGUUCUUCUAAUCUCGGAUUUUUUUCUGUCUCAGAUAACGAAGAAGCCAUAAUUUGAUCGGCCACGAUCGAGGCGAUUCGUAAACGGCUCUCUCGCACACCCAGCAAAUUGCACCGUAAACGACACCGUACAGAUAGCGCCGAGAUAAGCAAUCGAGAUAAACACUUGCUUCGAGCAUGUUACACCGCCGGCCAAACAAUGGACGCACGCCGACACGCUUCUUCCCGAUGACAAGUUACGCGCGCACACGCACUCGCACGCGUCUUUGAAAGUUUGCCUGCCCGGCAAGAUGAGUCCUACCUUCGUCGGUUGAUCCACCGAAUCGCUGCGUCCUGCUUGCUCCUGGUAGGCACUGCCGAAGGUCGACUUCUGGACAAGCCGAGACCCGAAUCGGCGAGUGUGUGUUUACGUUGACGUCGUUGCCUCUGUCUCUACGGCGACAGAAUCGACCGCUGGAUCUCUAUGGUGCGAGCGAGGACGAUUCCCAUCUACUUGUCUCGCACUGUUUCAGCUUCACCGGCCGCGCGAUAACAUCGUUGCUCUCUCGGUUUCAUGGUCUCGCUGUCGGAGGACACUGUUCUCCUGGAUACGUACUCGGAGAGCCGGUGCUAGCGGCAGGGUUUUCUAGGUCAUUUGGCUGGUUGCCACGCAUCCGACAAUCUCCGUCCAUCCUCCGUUCAACGAUCAACCGGCGCCGAUAGUCUCAACGGAAUCAGUUGUUUCUCGGUCGUCGAUGAGAGCACAUCGAUCGUGGAAAGAGGAGUGUCCCAGAUGUGUCGCGACCGAUUUUGCUCUUCCCACACGUUCACAUUUGAGAGGUUCCAUCGCGAAAGCCUCGAGUUUCUGACACUUUCACCGAGGAAGCGGCUGGACUCUCGCGCAAGCACUUCCGGUUCCGCGUGAACAAGCCUACGCCAUGUCUAGAAAUGUCUUGCGAUGCUCGAAAGGCCGGUAAAUGUUCGAGUGUACGGACUCGGGACGGGACUCGCGAUUACUAGAUGCGCGCAAACUCCGCGCUGGAAAACGCGACGCGAGCUGCGUAGAACGGUAGUCGAGGUUUACACAGCACAGGUGCAUCUUUAAGGAGCUUGGAAAUCAGUUAUUGUUACGCAAUCGCUAUUCCUGCAAUUAAUUCUGUACACGGAUCCCCUCAGAAGAACCAUUUAGGAAAAGUAGAAUCAGAGGAACGCUACAAACACAUAGGAAUUGGAAUUAGAUUAUGGCGAAGUGCAGGAAGAUGCUGCCAACACCGAAGACGGAGAGGAAUAUUAAUAAGUCACCGUCGGCUGAUUUCUAGCUAUCAAAAGACAUAUGCUGUUUCGCACGGUAUGAUGAAACAACGUCGGUGACACGAAAUUGGAUAUUUGACGGUGAAGCCGCCUAUCUGUACUCCAUUUUCACCACUCAGCAUUUCCAGUAUAAUUAUGAUACUACUAUGGUUACGAUCAUUACUAUAUACAAUAGCUACGAUGUAAUAAUUUUAAGUCAUAUGAAAUAAAAGUAUUUAAUAAACUA